rnacentral:rRNA from 1 species
AGCUUAUACAUGCAAGUCUGAGGGGCAGCAUGAAGUAGCAAUACUUUGAUGGCGACCGGCAAAUGGGUGCGGAACACGUACACAACCUUCCUUUUAGUGGGGAAUAGCCCAGAGAAAUUUGGAUUAAUACCCCGUAACAUAACCGAGUGGCAUCACUUGGUUAUUAUAGCUUCGGCGCUAAAUGAUGGGUGUGCGUAUGAUUAGAUAGUUGGCGAGGUAACGGCUCACCAAGUCUACGAUCAUUAGCUGAUGUGAGAGCAUGAUCAGCCACACGGGCACUGAGACACGGGCCCGACUCCUACGGGAGGCAGCAGUAAGGAAUAUUGGUCAAUGGACGCAAGUCUGAACCAGCUAUGCCGCGUGAAGGAUUAAGGUCCUCUGGAUUGUAAACUUCUUUUAUCUGGGACGAAAAAAGGUCUUUCUAGACCCCUUGACGGUACCAGAUGAAUAAGCACCGGCUAACUCCGUGCCAGCAGCCGCGGUAAUACGGAGGGUGCAAGCGUUAUCCGGAUUCACUGGGUUUAAAGGGUGCGUAGGCGGGUAGGUAAGUCAGUGGUGAAAUCCUGGAGCUCAACUCCAGAACUGCCAUUGAUACUAUCUAUCUUGAAUAUUGUGGAGGUAAGCGGAAUAUGUCAUGUAGCGGUGAAAUGCUUAGAUAUGACAUAGAACACCCAUUGCGAAGGCAGCUUACUACGCAUAUAUUGACGCUGAGGCACGAAAGCGUGGGGAUCAAACAGGAUUAGAUACCCUGGUAGUCCACGCCCUAAACGAUGGAUACUCGACAUACGCGAUACACUGUGUGUGUCUGAGCGAAAGCAUUAAGUAUCCCACCUGGGAAGUACGUUCGCAAGAAUGAAACUCAAAGGAAUAGGCGGGGGUCCGCACAAGCGGUGGAGUAUGUGGUUUAAUUCGAUGA